AAUUGUAGGUGGUUCGUGUGUGGAUCUCGUCAGCAUAUCGUCGCAAACAGGAAAUUCCCAACCAUAGUGGGCUUGGAGCUGUGAGGGAAUUCGGAGUGGCCACCCAUUCUGAAAGUUUGAUUUUCUUCUGGUAAACUGGACAUCCUUUUAUUUACGUUUAAAGUUUUGGGUUUUUAAAUGUAAUAAGGCCGCUUAAUUA